rnacentral:rRNA from 1 species
CAGCCGCCGCGGUAAUACCGGCGGCCCGAGUGGCGGCCACUAUUAUUGGGCUUAAAGCGUCCGUAGCCGGGUUGGUUAGUCUCCCGGGAAAUCUGGCCGCUUAACGGUCAGAAUUCCGGGAGAUACUGCCAGCCUAGGGACCGGGAGAGGCCGAGGGUAUUCCCGGAGUAGGGGUGAAAUCCUAUAAUCCCGGGAGGACCACCUGUGGCGGAGGCGCUCGGCUGGAACGGGUCCGACGGGGAGGGACGAAGGCCAGGGGAGCAAACCGGAGUAGAUACCCGGGUAGUCCUGGCUGUAAACGAUGCGGACUUUGUGUCGGACAAGCUAUGAGCUUGUCCGGUGCCGGAGGGAAACCGUUAAGUCCGCCGCCUGGGGAGUACGGCCGCAAGGCUGAAACUUAAAGGAAUUGGCGGG